GUAUCUUGACUUCACAAUAGAAAAGCAGUUUUAUUUUCUCUUCGUUCUGUCUCGAAUUAUUUUCGUCUGAAACACCUCCAGCACCUCCGCCAUGAAAGAAGAACAACAAAUACGACAAAUAUGAGACCUAACAGCAGAUUUCAACCCAAGUCAUUCGAUUGUUAAUCUUAUUCUUCUUUAAUUUUGAAAAUUUGAAUCACCGAUCUUUGACCUAAAUUGUGGCUUCCUAUUUCAGCAAUCAUUGCAAUUGCUUUCCAUUCCUUAUGCUACAAAUACCUGAGGCCUUAACAUAACAUUCCAACUCAGGCUAUACAUCUUUGUAGUAAUGGAAGGCAAAGAAGUCUUCGUUCCCCGUUGUAGCCCUAGAAUCAUAGAGCACACUCGAAUUCAGCAGUUGAUAGAAACAUCGACUGAACACAACACAGUACCAGAACUCCGUAGAAGUCCUAGAAUUGCUGAGCAAACUCGAAUUCGAGAGAAGAUGGAUAUGAUAAAUGAAAGGAAAAGGCAACGUGAUUUGGACCACCAUCAAAGAGCUCACGAGUUACAGCAGCGCCGCAUUCUUGAGAGAGCCAAACAAAGCUCAAUGACAAUACACGAAAGGGAAGCUUUCCUUGAAAAGCGACGUAAUCAAUAACGAAUUCGGUCAUCACAACGACUCCAGAAUAAAAAUGGGGAACAAGCUGGAACGAGUAAUGCUGGUAAUUGUGAUUAUGUACGCCACGAAGAGGAUGGUAGCGAGAUGAUAGACUGGUGGCGCUGUGUUGUUGCUGGCAUGGUGUUGUAGACUGCAUGGAACGGAGGUGAUGUAUGAAGGUUAGGUGGUGAUGUAAGUAAUGGCAUUAUGAAAUGGAACUGUGGUCGCUGGUGAAAAUAGAUUUGGUUGUGUGUUGUGAACAUGAGAUUUUGCUAUUGAUGGAGACUGCAAGGUGAAAGUUUGUUAUACGUGAGAUGGGAAUGCUCGGAGAUGGUCUGAAGAGGAUCAAAGCUUCUCUCUUCUUCCAAGCAUCUCAAAGUGUCCGUUGCAGCAUCUAGAAAAGUAAAAACCUUAGUUCUGUUCGGAAGAGUUGGGAAUGGAAUGUGCUCUUGGUAAUAACAUCCUUGGAAGGAAGGAAUUUGAUGCAAGGCCUAUGCUUUAGGUGUCACAACUGAACGCAAAAUGAAGACAACUAUGCUGGAUGGUGGUCAAGUUGUUAAUGUCAUUGACACACCAGGUUUUUUUCUUCUGGAAAUUGCAAAUUUCACACGGAUCGCACAUGAGAUGGUCAAAUGUAUAGGAUUGAUGGACAAUGUGAUCAGAGUAUUGCAGGAAAUGCUCUUUUGGAUCAUCCAUGGAACUGUCCGUUUAAUCAUGAUCCUUACACAACUUUGGGAGCGCCAUUAGAGAGCAAAUCUGAAGGAUGUCAUGAAAAGAAACUCUUUGGGUCAUGAUGCUGUGAUGAACGCCCAGACUUCAUAAAGUUAAAUGAUGUGGACUGUUAAAUGAUUGUGGAAUAUAAAUAUCUUCUCUAACUUCUUUUGUAUAUGUUCGUAAUUCAUUUAGUACUAACCAAAGACCAACUUGAAAUGUGUCAUGUAUGGUAAUAUUUAUG